GUUUGAAGAGAAGAAGUAAUAAAAAAUAAAGUCAUGAUUUUUUUCCCCCCUUUCAAAGCCUGUUUACAGAAACUUGUGUGCAUGUGGAUGUAUAUAUUCAAUUAUUUUGACUGUUCUUACCUGCAUGUUUCCUGCUUCUGGCUGAGGCCGAUCUCCCAGGGCUGCCUGCUUGGUGGGGCAGCAGGAAUCGGCACAAAUUGCCCCAAAAUCACGGUCUUGAGCCAUUCCCUGCCUGCUUCUGAGCUGGGAGAUGUGCUGGUACGUGCAGGCAGGGCAGCCACCUCCCCCGGUACUCAACUCCAGGUCUGAGCUCCUCUCCCCAUAAGAGGGCGAGGGAGGGGAUCCGUGCAAGGCACCGUGCUUGGAGCCCUCUCAGUUCAAAGGUGCCCAAGGAGAUGGAGCUGGCCUAGGGAUGGCUGGAGGCCACACAGACGGGAAGUCACCACAGGUGAAAUCCCUCCCAGCAGCUGGCUUAUGAAAUAAUGCAAGGGGAGGCCGUAAUGAGCUGAAAGCACCCUCAGCUGGAGAUAAAUAUAUGCAAAUGAGAUGCACAAACAAAGGAGCCUGGACAGAGAAAUAUCUGCAAUUCCAGCAAAAUGCUGCCUGCAGCUAGAAGAUGAACAGCUUUGAUAAAAUGGGCGUUGCUGGAAGCUCCCAUUUGAUGCUUUACCUAUAAAGCCUAAAUUGAGCGUCUGAGGGGUGGCGAUGCGUCUCCUGCUCCUAGUUCCACCAAAAACCAAAAUAGACUUUAAAUGGCAACGCUACGAACACCCGAGCGCGCUACACACACGGCGAUCAUCAUCCUCCCCGAUUCCCCCUUAUGUUCCCAAACACGGAGCCAGCAUCGGGAUAAUGCAGCUUUACGUCCAAAGCUCAUUGGAAAUGUAAACUUUGAGCAAAUAGCAAUCGCUUGUGUAGCUGCACUGCUGAGGUGACUGGCAGCAAAUUCCUUUCUCUUCCUCCCUCCCUUCCACGCAGCGUUUUGAAAUACCCAUCAGUGUCAAAGGAAACUGCACAGAGCGCUGCUGCUGCUCUAAAUAAGGCAGAGCAAUGUUGAGAGAAACGUCAAAAAAAAAAAAAAAAAAACCCUCAACGGAUUAAAGUGACAUUUCUGUACCGUGUCAAGGCAGAUGACAAAGCUUCGUGUUUUGCAUAAUUUCAAAAAAAGAUCCUUCAUAAAACAUCCAGCGUAUAAACAGACAGCGGGCUUUUGUUUUAAACAUUUAAGAUCAAAAGUUAUGGUAAGGACAAUUAAUAUUGCCUAUUAAAAU
ensembl:lncRNA